rnacentral:rRNA from 1 species
GGUGAGUAAUGAUAGGAAUCUACCUAGUAGUACGGAAUAUUGUUGGAAACGGCAACUAAUACCGUAUACGCCCUACGGGGGAAAAAUUUAUUGCUAUUAGAUGAGCCUAUAUUAGAUUAGCUAGUUGGUGGAGUAAUAGCCUACCAAGGCAAUGAUCUAUAGCUGAUCUGAGAGGAUGAUCAGCCACACUGGAACUGAGAUACGGUCCAGACUCCUACGGGAGGCAGCAGUGGGGAAUAUUGGACAAUGGGCGAAAGCCUGAUCCAGCCAUGCCGCAUGAGUGAAGAAGGCCUUUGGGUUGUAAAGCUCUUUUAGUGAGGAAGAUAAUGACGGUACUCACAGAAGAAGUCCUGGCUAACUCCGUGCCAGCAGCCGCGGUAAUACGGAGAGGGCUAGCGUUAUUCGGAAUUAUUGGGCGUAAAGGGCGCGUAGGCGGAUUAGUAAGUUAAAAGUGAAAUCCCAAGGCUCAACCUUGGAAUUGCUUUUAAAACUGCUAAUCUAGAGAUUGAAAGAGGAUAGAGGAAUUCCUAGUGUAGAGGUGAAAUUCGUAAAUAUUAGGAGGAACACCAGUGGCGAAGGCGUCUAUCUGGUUCAAAUCUGACGCUGAGGCGCGAAGGCGUGGGGAGCAAACAGGAUUAGAUACCCUGGUAGUCCACGCUGUAAACCGAUGAAUGUUAAAUAUGGGAAGUUUUACUUUCUGUAUUACAGCUAACGCGUUAAACAUUCCGCCUGGGGACUACGGUCGCAAGAUUAAAACUCAAAGGAAUUGACGGGGACCCGCACAAGCGGUGGAGCAUGUGGUUUAAUUCGAUGCAACGCGAAA